rnacentral:rRNA from 1 species
UACGUAGGGUGCGAGCGUUGUCCGGAAUUAUUGGGCGUAAAGAGCUCGUAGGCGGUGUGUCGCGUCUGCUGUGAAAACUCGAGGCUCAACCUCGGGCUUGCAGUGGGUACGGGCACACUAGAGUGCGGUAGGGGUGACUGGAAUUCCUGGUGUAGCGGUGGAAUGCGCAGAUAUCAGGAGGAACACCGAUGGCGAAGGCAGGUCACUGGGCCGCAACUGACGCUGAGGAGCGAAAGCAUGGGGAGCGAACAGG